GAUGAACGCUGGCGGCGUGCCUAAUACAUGCCAGUCGAGCGAACAGACGAGGAGCUUGCUCCUCUGACGUUAGCGGCGGACGGGUGAGUAACACGUGGAUAACCUACCUAUAAGACUGGGAUAACUUCGGGAAACCGGAGCUAAUACCGGAUAAUAUAUUGAACCGCAUGGUUCAAUAGUGAAAGACGGUUUUGCUGUCACUUAUAGAUGGAUCCGCGCCGCAUUAGCUAGUUGGUAAGGUAACGGCUUACCAAGGCGACGAUGCGUAGCUGACCUGAGAGGGUGAUCGGCCACACUGGAACUGAGACACGGUCCAGACUCCUACGGGAGGCAGCAGUAGGGAAUCUUCCGCAAUGGGCGAAAGCUUGACGGAGCAACGCCGCGUGAGUGAUGAAGGUCUUCGGAUCGUAAAACUCUGUUAUUAGGGAAGAACAAAUGUGUAAGUAACUAUGCACGUCUUGACGGUACCUAAUCAGAAAGCCACGGCUAACUACGUG
rnacentral:rRNA from 1 species